rnacentral:piRNA from 1 species
UGAUUUCACCUCUGGUCCUUGCCAAUC